rnacentral:rRNA from 1 species
UGGGGAAUCUUGCACAAUGGGGGCAACCCUGAUGCAGCGACGCCGCGUGAGCGAUGAAGCCCUUCGGGGCGUAAAGCUCUUUCGACCGGAACGAUAAUGACGGUACCGGGAGAUGAAGCUGCGGCUAACUACGUGCCAGCAGCCGCGGUAAUACGUAGGCAGCAAGCGUUGUUCGGAGUUACUGGGCGUAAGGAGUGCGUAGGCGGUUUUCUAAGUUCGGUGUGAAAUCUCCCGGCUUAACUGGGAGGGUGCGCCGAAGACUGGGAAGCUGGAGUGUGGGAAAGGCAGGCGGAAUUCCUGGUGUAGCGGUGAAAUGCGUAGAUAUCAGGAGGAACACCGGCGGUGUAGACGGCUUGCUAGACCAUAACUGACGCUGAGGCACGAAAGCGUGGGUAGCAAACA